GUCAAUUGAUCCACUUAAAAUAACGCAGUUCCCUGUAUAAAAGAAAGCUGUACUCCUAGCCUCCAAUCAUAUCAAAAAAAGUUUCAAGCUUGAAGCAAUGGAGUCUCUUCAGAAGUUGGUGAUCAUGGUGAUGCUGGUGCUGUCGAUCAUCCUUGGCUGCGGUGAGAUCGCCUUGUUGAGGGCUGAUGGCUUCUGUAACAUGACAAUGGAGGGUUUCAAUGCAUGCAAGCCUGCAGUCACCGGCCCAGAACCUACUGAGCCAUCUGAAGAGUGUUGUGAAGCCCUCUCCAAUGCCGACCUUCCAUGCCUUUGCUCUUACCGGCACUCAAUGCUGCUGCCAUCCCUUGGAAUAGACCCUGACCUUGCCAUGCAGCUCCCACAAAAAUGCAAUCUCACUCCGCCUGCCGAGUGCUAAGGGGAAUUCUUGGGAGGUGAGCAGGCCCCUUCUUCGUUACAUGCCUAUGAAGUUCUUAAACUGCUGGUGUUUCUCAAGGAGUAUAAAUGAUGUCAAAUAUGUAAUAUUGCUACUUCAUUUCCGAAUUUUAUAUACACUUUCUUUGAUGUUUCUGGACACUGUAAUUACUUUGUACUACUAAAAUAAGAAAGUUGUUAUCUUUUCUUUUUCUA